rnacentral:rRNA from 1 species
GAUGAACGCUGGCGGCGUGCCUAAUACAUGCAAGUCGAGCGAACAGACGAGGAGCUUGCUCCUCUGACGUUAGCGGCGGACGGGUGAGUAACACGUGGAUAACCUACCUAUAAGACUGGGAUAACUUCGGGAAACCGGCGCUAAUCCCGGAUAAUAUAUUGAACCGCAUGGUUCAAUAGUGAAAGACGGUUUUGCUGUCACUUAUAGAUGGAUCCGCGCCGCAUUAGCUAGUUGGUAAGGUAACGGCUUACCAAGGCAACGAGGCGUAGCCGACCUGAGAGGGUGAUCGGCCACACUGGAACUGGGACACGGUCCAGACUCCUACGGGAGGCAGCAGUAGGGAAUCUGACGCAAUGGGCGAAAGCUUGACGGAGCAACGCCGCGUGAGUGAUGAAGGUCUUGGGAUCGUAAAACUCUGUUAUUAGGGAAGAACAAAUGUGUAAGUAAAUAUGCACGUCUUGACGGUACCGAAUCAGAAAGCCACGGCUAACUACGUG